UCAAUUAUAGCCAUUUGAUCAUGGAAUUGUUUUGCCACGUGUUACGAUCUGAAUGUGUGACACUGUGAGCCUUGUCACACACGAUCACACUCAGAUCACACAGCUGCGAAAUCGCUCGUCUACGCCGUCGCCGUUUCAAAGCUUCUUCUCCAUCGUCUUCUCCGUUUCAAAGCUUCUUCUCCGUCGUCUUCUCCGUUCUCUCCAUCGUCUGUUCAUUGUAGUACUAGAGUAAGCUUCUUCUCCGUCGCCGUUUCAAAGCUUCUUCUCCAUCGUCUUCUCCGUUUCAAAGUUUCUUCUCCGUCAUCUUCUCCAUUCUCUCCAUCGUCUGUUCAUUGUAGUACUAGAGUUUGGACUGAAUGGUGCUGAUAAUGUUAUAAAUUGGAUGAGAUAUUCUCGUCGUCUUUUGCAGCUGCUAUGUACUUGAAGGUCAACAAUUUCCCUACCCAAAACAAGGUUUAUGUGAUUGGUGGGGAUGGUAUACUGGAUGAGUUGCAGCUUGCUGGCUUCACAGCUUUUGGUGGUCCUGGUGAUGCAGAUAAAACAAUAGACUGGAAGCAGACUGGAAUUUUUGAACAAAUGAUGAGCUAACUAGUAAGGAUGUUAUUUUAUGUUGCUAAUAAGUUACUAAUUUGGUCAUCUCCCAUGUUAAAUUGCAGGUUCGGUUGAAGAGUCUUGGUUUUUCUUCUUCAGCUCAAGUCAAACUGUAUAGAUCAUACUGGUUCAAUAAGAUAGGGGUGAUGGUAGUGCUUGGUUAUUGAUCACAUUUGUUCUAUAGUUUAAGGCGAAAAUGGAAAUGCAUUUGUGAAUAAGUGUGUACUAUAGGUUGUGAAUAAUGGUUUGAAUAUUCAAGAUUUAAAAAAUCUAUUUUACUCUCAUAGUCAAUAUUAAUGGGUUCACAACACUGAAACCAUUUAACAAGACUAAUGGUUUCAGUGUAUAACAUAUUGAAACCAUUUAAUAAGACUAAUGGUUUCAGUGUAUAACAUUAGUCAAUGGAUUAUAAAUAUACUAGUAACUACUACUAUUGAUAUGGACUAAGCAAUGUAUAAUUUUUCAAGUCAAAAAUUGCGAGAAUUAGUGUCA